CGAAACAAUUAACGUGAUAGAUUAGGUAUAUAUACCAAAUGUUAUCCGGCUAAACCUUCUCUUAUUAACAAGUGGGAUCACUCGUUCGGUGUGAUAAACUUUUCUAAUUUUAUACGAAAAUGGCCGUUUUCAAAUGUUUCUGCUUUCUGUUUUUAUUCAGCUUAGUUUGGGGUGGUUUCUAUCCGAAAGCCGAGAGCGGAGAGUUUUACGUGUGCGGACAAGAUGGUAAUAAAGUGGACUGUCAAGAGAUCUGCAGUAGCCAGGGGGCAAUAUUUGGUUACUGUCAUUGGUUCAAGUGUUUCUGUGAAUAAUAUUUUUGUUAGUUGAAAAAUAAAAAAUAUAUAAAAUUGU